rnacentral:rRNA from 1 species
GCUCAGAAACUCAAAUGAAUUGACGGGGCCCGCACAAGCGGAGGAACAUGUGGUUUAAUUCGAUGAUACGCGAGGAACUUACCUGGGCUAGAACGCAAUCGGAAUCAGGCCGAAAGGUCUGCGCCAGCGAUGGCCGGUUGCGAGGUGCUGCAUGGUUGUCGUCAGCUCGUGCCGUGAGGUGUCGGGUUAAGUCCCAUAACGAGCGCAACCCCUACUGCUAGUUGCCAGCGGGUCAUGCCGGGGACUCUAGCGGAACUGCCAGCGUAAGCUGCGAGGAAGGUGGGGAUGACGUCAAAUCAGCACGGCCCUUACGUCCAGGGCUACACACGUGUUACAAUGGCCAGUACAGAGGGCAGCCACCCCGCGAGGGGGCGCUAAUCCUAAAAGCUGGUCCCAGUUCGGAUCGGAGUCUGCAACCCGACUCCGUGAAGCUGGAUUCGCUAGUAAUCGCGCAUCAGCCACGGCGCGGUGAAUACGUUCCCGGGCCUU